rnacentral:lncRNA from 1 species
GAGGAGUAUGGUGAAGAUGAUGAAGAUGAAGAGGAGUAUGGUGAAGAUGAUGAUAUCCAUUCAUGUUGAAAUUACUCACCAUGAGAAGGAUGAUAAACCAGUGACAUUGCUGGAAUGACUUCAACGUUUAUGUUUUGUGUUCCCUGUUAAGAAUAUUAGAGGUACUUUGUUGGGCAAGAAUUGUACAGGUUGAUUCUAACUAAAACCUACCAAAUGGCUUGUUUUAACAAGGAAGAUUGUAAUAGCAGUUAAAAACAAUUGAAAGUUAUUGCUUCAAUCACCUCACCUCACCUCACCUGCCUUGUUUCUCUAAAUGAACCAACUCAAUUAUCUCCAAUGUAUAUUGAUUGAAUUUGAUAAAUUUAUUUCACAACAGCUCAAGACAGUAACGAGUGUACUCAAAGCCUUGAAGGUUACCAUACCUCGUGCUGCGAGAUCAAGAAAAUAUGGACCUUAUCACUUUAUUUGGUGUAAUUAACUAAUUUAAUUGAAAGAACAAACAAUAACUCAAAAAAUUUAAGUUUUCAGUAUAACAUCAAUUGGCACAUGUUCAUCAAUGGUGUCAGAUAUCGAAAGGAACACAUUAACUAGAAGGAGUGAAAAAGCAAUCAAAGAACAAAAAAUUGACUGUUGAAUUAGAUGUUCGUUUGUAAAUUUUAUCAAACUUGGAGGGGCAAUUAGUAAUUUGUGAAAUCUCAGAAAUGGAAGAAGCUGGACUUCAACCCGUUCAGGCCCUUUUACUACUACCCCCGAGGCUUUAGCCCAAGAUGAAAAGCGCACGCGCGAAAUAAGAAACAUAAAAACUAAGCACUACGCAACGUAGCAAUAUGUUGUGGAGACUACCAUAUAAUCAAGUACACGUGGCAUUUUUAAAAGCCUUUCCUUGACUUAAAGGCGUAGAGACUAGGGAUGGCAACUGGAUCGCUCCAUAAUGGAUAUCCACAAUAUCCAUCCAAUUGGAUCGGAUAAUAUCCAUCCAAAAUUCUUUGGAUUUUGAAAUGGAUAUUUUAAAAUUAUAUCCAGAUGGAUAUGGAUAAUUAUUUUUACCCAAUGGAUAUCCGUUUAACCCAAUACAAGUUUAAAAAAUUUUAAUUUUAUAAAAUUAAAAAUAUAAUAAAUAAACAAUUGUAAAAAUAUUAUAUUAACUAGUGAAAAAUUUAAAUUCCUCUUAUAUUAAAAACUAAAGUUUUCAAAAUUACUCUUUAAUUUUUUAACUUAUUUAAUACUAUUAAUAAUUAUUAUUUUAUUUUAUUAAUUUAAUAUUAUAAAUGGACCUCCACCGGAAAGUCGCCGGACCACCACCGGACCUCACCGGACCACCGUCGGAUUUCGCCGGAAUGUCACCGGAUCUCGCCGGAAUGUUGCCGGACCACCACCGGACCUCGCCGGAAGAUCGCCGGACAUCGGCCGGACCACCACCGGAAGUCGCCGGAAGGUCGCCGGACCUCCGCCGGACCUUCGCCGAAAAGUUGCCGGACCGCCGCCACCGACCACCGAACCACCAUUUUAUUUUAUAUAUAUAUAUAUAUUACUAAUAUAAAUAGUUUAAUAGCCAAAUUUAAUAUUAGAAUUUUAAUUAUUUUACAUUAUUAUUUUUAUUAUAUAAAAAUAAAAUAUUCAUGGAUAUCCAUGGAUCUCCAUAAUUAUAUGGAUAAAAUUCAUAUCCGUGUCCAAUAUUAAAUAUUGGAUAUGGAUAUGGAUAUAUCCAUUAUGGAUAAUCAUGGAUUUGUGUUUGGAUGGAUAUUAUCCAUCCAUAAUUGGAUAUUUGCCAUCCCUAGUAGAGACCUGUCCAAGUAUGACACGUCAGCGUCAUUUACAGGGAGGCACCGAAGCCAGCCGCAAGCCCGCAACAGCCCACCGGGCAAGUAUGGAGUGUAGGAGUUGUGAAUGUUAACCGGCUUUGCAUUUUUGAAACUUAAUUUAGAAACUAUUAAAUUUUCUCCCCCUCUAAGGCAAUUAAAAAAUGCAUGUGGGUCGCCUUCUGAUAAUAGAAAAUGUCACAUUCUAUGCUACCACUUAAUAGUAAUCAUUUGAGUGAUCUAAUUAAUGAAUUUAUACGGUAUCAAUUUGUAAAAAAUAAAUUUAUGCAAAAAUCUGUAGUUCUAUUAUCAUUUUGAUUAAAUUUUUUAACUUUGAAGAUUAUUAUUAUUAUUAUUAUUAUUAUAAACAAGGACGGAGCCAGCAUGGGACGAGGUGGGGCACAGGCCCCAGCUGGCUUUUAAUUUUUUUUUUAUAAUUAUACUAAAAAAUUGUAUUUUAUUUGUUAUGUAUGAAAAAUGCCCCACCUGAAUUGUAAAAUUUGAAAUUGACUCCAAUAAUUUUAAAAUAUUCAUAUUUUCCCUAGUUUAAAUUUCUAGUUAUAAAUAAUUUAAUUAGUUAUUAAAAUUUCAUGAAAAUUGAUUAAAGACACGAGAACAAAUAUUAAAAUAAAAAACAAUCAUAACAAAAUGUUAGCAUAAUGGUUAAUGGACCAGUCUUUAAUCUUUUUAUUUUUUAUUCAAGUAAAAUCAAUUAUUUAGUCUUUCAACAUUGAACCAUAAGUUGUAAGUCUACCUAAUUCUAAUUUUUAAUUUUCUAAUUAAUCUUUUGUCUAGUUUUAAAAUUUAUAAUUUUAUCAUGCAUUUCAUAUUUGUUCCGUGUGUUGUAAUAUAUGAAUAUUUUUGUUAUUAUUAAAAGAUUUUAAGAGCAAAUUAAGUAAUAACCUAGUCUUGUAUAUUGAAAAAUAUAUUUUUGGUUAUAUUGAUAAUGCAUUAUUUUCAACUCAUACAAUUCCAUUGAGGAGUUUUCACGGAGAACCAUUGUAAUAAGUAAAUUUAUUAUCAAUGAAUAUUAUAGUUGUAAUGUUAUAUAUUGCUAUUUAAAAUUUUGAAAUGUAUUAUAUUUUAAAUAGGGUUUCAAUUAGAUGCAUAUAGACGCACUCUAUAAGGAGCACAAUUGUACAUGUAGCAAGCUCCCAUUUGGAGUUUAUGGGGCUCACAAUACAGUUUCCCAAAUGAGGACAUAUCACACAAGCAAUCGCGCAUUCGAGUCAUGUUUGAUUUUAAAUGUGCCCCGACUCGAUCAAAAUCUUGGCUACGUCCCUGAUUAUAAAGACUUAGAGCGUUAGCCUCAGGUAUGCAAGUCUUUCUUUAUAUUAUUUGUAGGUUGUUAGAUAUUUAUCAAUUCUUUUCUAUGCUUUGUCUCUUUGGCUGAAUGACAUGUGGUUUAUGGUUAUUGAUUCUGAUUUCAAACAUAUAAAUUAUGAAGACAAAUACAAAUAUUUCAUUAUUAUUACUUAAUCUCCAAUUGUUUUGCUCUUUCCCUCCUUAUGUAAUUCAGGCUCUAAAACUGGUACAGGCUGACUCUCAUAUUUUUAAUUUCUCAUUCAUAGUCCCCAAGAACUUUAUAUGAUUCUCUAAUUGCCCAAGUCUUUCUUAAUUACAUCUGACUGUGAAUACAUAUAAAGAGAGUUGUUGGCUUGCUGCUUUCAACGUUUUGUUUGUUUUAGUUGGAUUAUUUGAUUUCGGCCGGUGGCUAGUGUUGUUGAAUAGAAAAUCCAAUAUAUGAAGACCAUUCAAUUCAUUUCCAAUCAAAUUAAAACUCAAUUAAUAUAUUCCAAUAUAUUUUUUUUUAUAGAAUGGCCUAUUCAGAUGAGUAAAAUGCACAUAACGAAAUAAAAUAAUUAAAAAUAAAAUUAUUAAGGAUGAAAUGUAGUGGAUUAAAUACAAUAUGACAAAAAAAGAUUUUGGGUACUCCUAGAAGAAUUACCCUCAAGUCGGAUAAAUCCCAUUUAUAUAAAUUAUUGUGAAAAUGAGUUGAAGUCUUAGCUCAAGUAGUAAAAAAGUAUCGCUUCUUCGAGGCAAGGUCUUCAGUUUGAGCCUCAGUAAAGGGGAAUGGACUGAAAUCCAGCAUUCCAUAGGAAAAAAUUACAAAAAAAAUGUGAAAGAAUAAAAUGAUAUCGGUCAGAAAAAGAUAAAGCAUAAUGAAACGAAUAAUGCAGCGAUUAAUAGAUAAUGAAGGAAACCUCAAAAACUCCGUUUUGAAUUUACAACAAUAUUCACUAGCUGGCUUUGUUGUUACAUAAGGUCAUGAAAGCUCUAUCUUUUAUUUUCAUUUCUCUCUGAAAUAAUGAAAUGCAUAUUCGAAAAGGUCUGCUGGUGGUUCGCUGGUACUUGGUACGCUUAAACUAGAAAUGUUCUCUUCUGAAUUUCUUACCAAAUGAAAAACACGAAAUUCUUUACUUUCAAUUUUUUAAAUUCAUAAAUUCAUUAAUCGUGCUUCGUCAUCCUUGCCUUUCCACUUGUUUAAUCUGUAAUCCAUAAUUUAGAACAAGAGUACUAUUUGUUGAUUAUAAUAAGUUACGUCUUAUUACAACAAUCGUUUUAACAACAAUUUGCUAGAAUCUUUGGGAAUAUUUAAUGGAAAAAUGUUAUUUUUCAUAAAAUUGUAAAAAAAAUAAACAAAAAGAUAAUAUUAAUAAAGUGAUUAAGGUGGCGUUUGUUUUUUAACUUAAUAACUUAAAGUGACUUAACUUAAUUAAUUAAGUUAAUUAGAGGUGUUUGUUUUUAUAACUUAAUGAGACUUUUUAGAUAAUUUUGACUUAAUAAAAUAAGCUAAUUUUUUUGGCUUUUUACUUAAUGGAGAAAUCUGAAUUAAGUCAAUUACUUGCUAAUGUAAAAAAUAUCCAUGUUUUAUAAUUUAUUUUUCAUAUCUAUCCUAAAACUCACCCAUAGAUAUUUACCCCACAUAAAAAUAUCCCUGUUUUUUCUUUCUUAUAUUAUAUACGAUAAAAUUUAAAAUUUAUGGUAUUUUAUAUAUUAAAAUUCCAAAAUAAUUAUGUAUUCACUUGAAUAUAGUUUUACUUAUAAAUGUUAAAAUAUUGUGGUAUUUAAUAUAUUAUUUAUUUGACAUUCAAAUUUAAUAAGGAUACAAAUGUAAAAGUACAUAUUUUCAGCUUUUUAAUUUGAAAAAAACAAACAACUUAAUACUUAUUUUUCAAGAUUCAGACGAAAAAACAAACAUAUUAUUCAGAUUCAGACAUUCAGACAUAUUCAGAAUUCAGACCAAAAAACAAACGCCACCUAAGUUUGUCUUUUAUUAAAAUGUUUCUUUCUUUUCUUUUGUGUGCAAAUAAUAUAUGUUAUUUUCCAUAAAAUUGAAAAAAUAAAUAAAACAAAAAGAUAAUAUUAAUAAAGUUAUUAAGUUUGUCUUUUAUUAAAAUGUUUCUUUCUUUUCUUUUGUGUGCAAAUAAUAUAUCUCAUAUUUAAUUUUUGCACAUAAGGUCUUAAGCAGUCAGUUAACAGGAGGCUUGAAAAUAAGGUGAAUUAAUGCUUUGCUCUAUUAAAAGUAUUAAAGCAAAUUUUGUCACAUCAGUGAAAGCACUGAAAGGAGAGAUUUUAGAGUAUAUUAGAGGUACAAUACCCCUCAAUGCAUAUAUGAUAUAUAUAGAAAUGUUUCAAUUUGAAAUUUUAAAGUGCGGAAAAGUCCAAGAAACGCAUAAACCAUAUGGUUUAAGCGCUUUAAGCUUUAAGCCUUUAAAACUUUACGGUUUUAAAGCUUUCUCAGACUUUUCAUACACUUUAAGAUCUCGGACUAGAAAACUACUAAUGAUAUAUAUACAUCAAUUAAAUAUAACUACUUAUUACACAAUAUUUUUUGAAAAUAAAUGCACACAUAUCAUACAUACGUUUGAUGUACUCUAAAAUGAUUUGUGCUCUCAGUAAAUUUUCGACGUUGUUUAGUAUUAAUCAAAUUCUCUCUUGAGAAAUUUUAGAAUACAUCAGAUGUAUUAUGUCACCACUACAACAAACAAAUAAUGUUAUGAUAUGUGCGUCUUUAUUUUGAAAAACCACCAUACAAAUGAUGAUUGGAUUAAAUUCGAUUACACAUGUCAUAAAUACAUUAAUUAAUUAAUUUAUUAGCUGUGAUGUAUUUUAAAAUUCCUCCUCUCUCUUGCCAUCUACUCUUCGCAUUCAUUAUCUUAUUUUCACCAUUCUUCUAGUCAAUACUUAUGUUAUUUUGAUUAGUUCCCUCCUCCUGCAUUAUCUAAAACUAGCCGUCCUUCUUCUGUAAGCUCUUUGCAUUUGUGCUUCGACUAGAAACCCUUCCUUGUUUCCAUCUUCUCAUUUGAAAAAGUCUUUCCCACUACUUCUUGUUGUUUGCUUUUGUAGCCUGUCCUAUUGUUUUUAUGUCUCUAUAACUGUUUUUACUUUGUUUUGCCUUUCUUUUACUUCGUUGCUUCCGCACCAGUUUCAUUUUUCUAUCGAAGCUGUCCAUUUUGUUGUUGUUUUUUUUUAAAAUCUCCCUUCUGGUUCGCUCCGUAUUUAUUUACAAUUGAGAACUGUUGGAUGUAAACCUAAAAUCUGAUCAAGGAUAACAGUCGGAUGUGUCAAAUUUGUGUGCAUAAAACUGCUGACAUGCUGUUGAGUAUGUCAAAUACGCAUCAACGACAUAGUUCUAAUUGUCAUCCAUUUCGGCUAUUGAGGCAUGUGACUGAUCAGGUGCAACACUUAAACCAUUAGCCUAAACGGCACCUAGCUACCGUCGUUUUGACAGCUAAAGCAUAUACACAUGGACACGCGGAGAUUAGCUGUUUAAUUGGUUGUCAGUCUGUUAGCUUGAGUGGAAAAAUUAUGGGCUCUAACUAACUCAGAAUUAUAAAGCUUGCUUGAGGGUUUUCUUCUAUGAUUUUUCUCUUGAUGUACAUGAACAAACAAGUUUUUCAUUUCUCAAGUAAAACAUUAUACAUUGAGCGUAAUGCAGAGGUUACAUUUUUUCACACGUAUUGUAGAAGGAAAUGUGGCAUUGCCGUUUGGUGCGAAUUGUGUCUUUGACAAGUGCAGAUCAUGUCUUUGACAACUUCCUUCAAUGUUGUUUUAUUUGACAUUCUCAACACUCCCCCUCAAGCUGGUGCAUAGAUGUCUUGCAUGCCUAGCUUGUCUAGGAAUUUUGUAAAUGCUCUGCUUGAAAUGGCCUUCGUUAAAAUAUCUACAAGUUGAUCUUCUGAUCGAAUUUUCGGCAGUUCUAAGAUUUUUUCAUCUAAUUUCUCCUUGAUGAAAAAUCUAUCUAUCUCGACGUGUUUUGUUCGAUCGUGUUGAACUGGGUUAUGAGUAAUAUCUUGUGCAGUUUUGUUGUCAGAGUAUAGUUAUAUUGGUUGUUGUGAUGGAUAGCCCAAAUCUUUUAAAUGUGAAAUUUUUACAGUUUGCUUACUGGAAAUUGAGAAAUUUGAUGGUAUUCGUAGUUUUUGAAGAUCACUCGGAAAUUUUAUGGGACUGUUGAUAGAUUUGUAAACUCAAGUUUUUACAUAUGGUGGCUUGUUUUUUUGAUUGGCAUGGGUUUCUGUAAUGUUAGGAAUGAUUUUAAGGAAGAAAAAUGGUGGAAAAAAUGGUUGUGGGAAGAAUUUGGUUUCCUCUAUUUUUGUUACAAACAGAGCAGCAACCAUGCUCUGAUACCAUGAAGAAACAAGUUUUUCGUUUCUCAAGUAAAACAUUAUACAUUGAGUGUAUUUAUAGAUGCAGAGGUUACAUUUUUUCAAAGAUUAAAUAUACGUAUUACGGAAGGAAAUGUGGCGUUGCCGUUCGGUGUAGAUCAUGUCUUUGACAAGUGCGGAUCAUGUUUUUGACUACUUCCUUCAAUGCCGUUUUAUUUGACAUUCUCAAUAGUACAAAGGGGUAUAAAGAAGGGGUUUCGUGAAAUAAUUCUCUAGUUGUAUCCUGAACUUUUAAAGAGUUAGUGAAAUCUUGUUUCAUUGUUUCACAGUGGAUGUAGGCUUAGAAAGCUGAACAACUUAAUUUCCGUUUGUGUGCUUUACAUUUCCAAUUCUCUUAUGCUUAUGUGAUUAGUAAAUUCUUUGUUGAGUUCGAUUGUUUUUGGACUUGAUUACAAUCUCUAGUUUCGUUUGAUUAGGGAUUUGAGGAUUAAUUGCUUCAAGAUUGAGUCUAGGGGGUUAAAGAUCAGCCAUUUGCUUGUUUUAAAUUAACAAGAACUUUAAAAAAGAAAAAAAAAGAUUAAAGAUGGUGGAAAUCAUUGUUAACCUUGUUUUAGAAGUUGUAAAAUGCUUGGCUCCUCUAACAGAUCGCAGACUUGGUUAUCUGCACAAGUACAACGACAACUUCGAGAAUCUCAAGUGUUGUGCAAAUUUUAAUGUACUCGCAAACGCACAAAUCUAUUGUAGUAUAGAUCAAUGGUGACGAGUGUCGAUCCCACGAGGAGGUGGAUUUUAAUUGUGUGUAGAAUUAAUUUUGUAAAUGGGUGAUUGGAUUUGUGGUGGAAAUGAUUUGGAAUAUGCUAAAACUUAAAUUAAAAUGGCGAGAAUAAAUUCUAAAAUUGGAAUUGAAAUGGCAAGAAUAAAUUGAAGAGAAUUCUAUUGAAAUGACAUACUUGGGUAUCUGGAUCCGUAUCAACAUGCAUCAUGGGCUAAAUACUCCUUAUUAAUACCAAUUAAAUCAUGAUGGGGGAAUCCACACCUCAUGAACCACGCUCUAAUCAAUAUGGUGCUAAGGGCUUAUCGUGCCAAAUAAUAAUAACCUCGUACUAGGGGGCCGGUGAAACCAAGACGGUACUAGACAAGAUUAGUAUUAUUUAUCGACGAGAAGUCAAAACAUCCACAAAAAUUAGAGGGGAAGAGAAAGUAAAUUUACCAAAUAAAGCCUAUGACACAUGUUGAGACUUCACCUUCAACCCAAGCUUGAAAGAAAAUUAGCCACUCAUAAUUGAACUAGGGGUAAAAUGUGAAUUUAUUAAAAUAUGUAGAAAAUACAAGAUGGAGAAGGAAUUACAGAAAAUGGAUCCCAAAAAUGGAUUCAGAGAUAUCAAAUUAGGGGGGGGGGAAGCCCCCUUUUUAUAGAUACAUGGAGUAAAUCAUGGUCAUCAGAUUAAAAACAGUUUGGACGCUCAGGAUUGCGCCACGUCAUCAGUCAAUAGUACGCGGUUUGACCAUGUGGAUGAACAGUAACACGGUUUGACCCGGGUGAACAGUGACGCGGUUUGGUUGAAAAUAAUCAUGUGUGAUGCAUGUACCGUACGCGAGAUUUUUCGUCCACUGAUAUGCUGCCACGUCACCAUCAACACUACAUAAGAAUUUUAGCCCAACAGGAUCGUGACACCUCAUCAGUCAAUGCCACAUCAUCGGUCAAUGCCACGUCAUCGAUCCGUACAUGUGAACAGUGUCAUGAACAGUAACGUAGACAGUACCGUACACGUGAAUAGUACCGUACAUGUGAAUAGUGUCAUUUUUCCUUUUAUGCUCCUCCUAAGGUUUUCGACCGUCCUGAGUUCAAAAGUGAUGUCCGUUUUGCAGUCUGAUCUCUCGUUUAUUGUGAAAUGACCAUGAUGCCCCUAAAAUACAUAAAAUACUUAAUUAAAAUCAAACACACAUAAUUAAAUUGCAAGAAGCUUAAAUACAUAAAAGUAAGGGUUGUUAGUAAAACUUGAAAUGUAAAAUGAUGAUUUUCUCCUUUAUAAAUAUACAUUUUCUAACACUCAACAUCAAGGCAAAAAUUGAGAAGCUCAAGGAUGAAAGUAGGAGCGUUUAGCGCAGAGUUUCUGAGGCUAAAAGAAAAGGAGAAAAGAUUGACGAGAAGGUUGAGAAAUGGCAAGUUAAUACGAACAAGAACAUUAAUGAGGUAGCAAAAUUCAUUUCAGAUGAAAGGCAACAAAUAGGCGUUGUUUCAAGGGCUUGUGUCUUAAUUUGAAGACCUGCUAUCAACUUAGCUAUAAAGCAGUUACAAUGGAGAAGGCCAUUGUUGAACUUCAAGAAGAAGCUAGAAGAUAUGAUAGAAUUUCCUACUGUACCAUUCCAUAGGAGAUAUGGCUUAAGUCUCACCAACGAUAUGAGGCCUUCAAAUCAAGGCUUCCUACUAUAAAGGCCAUACAAAAAGUAUUGAUUGAUCCUAAUUCAGCAUCAUCGGGGUGUACGAGAUGUGUGGCAUUGGGAAGACAACAUUAGUGAAAGAGGUUGCUAGGCUAGCGAGACAAGACAAGCUCUUUGAUCAUGUGAUCUUUUCUGAAGUUUCACACUCCUAACAUAAAAAAGAUUCAAGGGGAAAUUGCAGAGAAACUCGGUUUGGUCUUGCAUGAACAAACUGAAUCUAGAAGAGCAAAUAGGCUUUAUGAAUGAUUGAAGGAUGAGAAGAAGAUCCUUAUAGUGUUGGAUAAUGUGUGGAAACAUGUUUAUUUGGACACUGUUGGAAUUCCUUUCAGAGAUGAUCACAAGGACGUAAAUUAUUGUUGACUGUGAGAGAUCGUAGUGUACUAUUUAAGUAUGGGCUCAAAGGAUGACUUCUUAAGUGGCGUUUUGAAUGAAGAAGAAACUUGGAGAUUGUUUAAAGUAGUUAAUGUAUUGCAAAGAACAAGGAAAAAAAUUUAUAAUAAUAAAAAGAAAAAUAUUUAAAAGUAAAGAAAUAAAGAAAGAUUUUAUUUCAAUUAUAUUGUUAUUCACUACAAUACUCUUUUAUAUAGAGCUGAAAAAGUAACAGAAAAUAAAAUAUCUUCCUAAUAUCAAGCCAUAUCUAACCAUCCUAAGGACUUGGUCUAUUGACCAAUUAUUUAGUAAAUCUAUUAUUGAAGCAACUAAGACACGUUUCCAACACUCCUCCUUGUCUUAGUAGUUGCAGAGGCCUAAUUUGUUUAUUAACAUUUCAAAUCUAGCUUUAGGUAGAGCCUUGGUUAAGAUAUCUGCAACUUGUUCCUCAGUCUUGCAAUGAAGCAGUUUAAUUUCGCCACCCUUUUGUACUUCUCUCAAGAGAUACAACUUGAUCUUGAAAUGAUUAGUCUUGCCAUGAAAAACAUGACCAUUUGAGAUUACAAUUGCAGCUUGGUUAUCUAUAUGAAUAUGUGUCAGCUCAUUUUGUUACAUAUGUAAAUCUACAAGUAUUUUCCUGAUCCAAAUUCCUUGAUUUACUAUAGCAUUGGCUGCUACAUAUUCUGCCUCAGCUGUACUUUGAGCUAUCACAUCUUGCUUCUUUAAAGACCAUGUAAAAAUUCCUAAUCUAAAAUUGAAACAAAAACCUUUUGUACUUUUCAUAUCAUCAACAGAGCCUACUCAAUCACAAUCAGAAAAAUUAUGAGGCUUAAAAUUCUAACAAUAAGAAUAUUUAAUGCCAUAAUUUGUUGUGCCCUUAAUAUAACUUACAAUCCUUUUGUUAGCUUGAAAAUGCACUUCACUGGCAUAAUGCAUGAAUCUCGAGAGUAAGCUUACUGCAAACAUAAUGUCUAGUCUGGUGGCUAUAAGAUACAUCAAGCAACCAAUCAGGCUUCUAUAUUUGCUUUCAUCAACUUUUUCUGCUCCAUCAUCUUUGCUAAAUUUCUCUUUCUAAUUCAUUGGUGUGCUGGUACUUUUGCAAUCCUCCAUGUGAAGUUUUUUGAGUAUUUCCCUUGUAUACUUCUUUUGGCUUAUGAAGACUCCAUCGUGAUCUUGCUUCACCUUCAUUCCCAAAAAAUAGGACAUCAAGCCAAGGUCUAUCAUCUCAAAUACUUUGAGCAUUUCCUCUUUAAACCCCUUUACCAAUUUCUCAUUACUUCAUGUAACAAGGAGAUCAUCAACAUAAAUAGAAACUAUAAUUGAGUUAGCAUUUGUUCUUUUACAUAUAAUGUAGCUUCACUUGGACUUUUAAUAAAUCUAAGACUUUGAAGGUGUUCAUCAAUCCUACUGUACCAAGCCCUAGGGGCUUAUUUAAGACCAUAUAAGGCCUUCUUCAACAAGUAGACCUUCUCCUCAUGUCCCUUGACUUGGAAUCCUUCAGGUUGCUCUACAUAAAUCUCCUCUUGAAGAUAACCAUUUAAAAAAAGAAGAUUUUACAUCUAACUGAUAAGUCUUCUAUCCCUUUUAUGCUACCAAAGCAAGCAUCAUCCUGAUUGUAUCCAAGUGUGCCAUUGGAGUAGAAGUUUAUGAGGAAUCUACUCCAAACAGCUAACUAUACCCCUUCACCACUAAUCUAGCUUUGUAUUUAUUUACAGAACCAUCUGCAUUAAGUUUUGUCCUGUAAACCCAUUUGACUUUAGUAAUCUUUCUAUGUUGAGGCCUAUUCACCAACUCCCAAGUGUCAUUUCUUUCAAAUCAUUCUGAGCUCCUCUUUCAUUGCUUCAAUCCACUUGUUGUCCUUCUCUAUUUCUUUAAAUUCUACAGGCUAAAAAAAGCAACACUGCUUCUUUAAUAAAUAUUAGAUAAGGGCCUUAUACCUCUAACUGGGACAUCAUUUAUGUCGUCAUUAACAUAUUGCGGUGUCUUUGUCAACUACUUCUUUAUACACUGCUCUCAGUUCAAUUGUUUAUCCUCUAUAAACUUGACAUGUCUACUUAUAAGAAUUUUUCCAUUUUGCGGUUGGAAAAUUCUAUAAGCCUUUGAAGAAUUGCCAUAUCCAAUAAAAACUCAUAGUUCUGCAUUUUUAUCGAGUUUGCCUCUCUUUACCUGUCACCUGUGGCAUAUAAGAGAAACAAAGACAACCAAAAGUCUUUAGGUUCUGUAAAUUUGGUUUGUAACUAAACCACACUUCAAAUGAAUUUUUUUUUUCUGCAAAACCCUUGUUGGCAGCCUAUUCAGCAAAAAAACUACAGUGUUUGUAGCCUCUGCCCACAUCUUCUUUUGUAAUUCCUUCUCAUAUAGCGCACAUUGUCAUUUCCAUAAUAGUUCAAUUUUUUUUCUCACUCACACCAUUUUAUUGUGGUGUGUAAGGAGCUGUAAGUUGGUGUUCAAUGCUAGCUUCUUCGUAGUACUUGUCAAAAGUGUCAUUUGUGUGUUCUUUCCCAUCACCAAACUUUAUCUUCUACAUCCUGCAACCACUUUGAUUGUCCACUGAUUUUUUACAUUUCCAAUAUAUAUUGGCAACCUCAAAUUUGAAUUUAAGAAAAUAAAUCCAGCAAAAUCUGAUAUAAUCAUCAAUAAACCCAAUGUAAUAUUUACUACCAUUUAAAGAUGAUAUUUUCUGAGGUCCUCCAACAUCUGUGUGUACAAAUUGCAGCUUGUGUGUUGAUUUCUAUGUUGUUUGAGAGAAAGGCUUUCUAGCUUGCCUGUCUUAUCGAUAAGCCACACAAUCAACUAGCUUGUCUUCCAACAAAGGAACACUUUUCACCAAAUUAUGUUUCUGCAUAUAUAGAAGUCCAUCAUGGUGGAAAUGCCUGAGCCUUUUGUGCCAUAAUUCUGCAUUGGUUACAGUGCUUGAAAAUGCUAUUUGCUCCUCCAAGAGAUUUAAAGCAAAGUUUUUUUCUUUCAUUUUCACUUUAAAUACAUCUCUACCUUCUACGUCUUUGAUCAAGCACCAUUUGUCUUCAAAUAUAACUUUGAAGCCUUUUUCAAUCAGCUGGCCAACACUAAGCAGGUUCUGGUCAAUAUUAGAUACAUAUAGAAUAUCAGUAAUAGACUUCAAACCUAUUAAACUUUCUAUAGCCACAGUUCUUUUCCCUUUGGCUAGAAUAAAUUCACCAUUUCCAAUUUUAAGUUUGGAAAUGAUUGUUUUAUCAGGCUCUUUGGAGAGCUCUUGGUCAUUAGUCAUGUGGUUUGUGCAGCCACUGUCAAUCAACCAGGAAUCCCUAGAGCUGUUGCUUGUCGCGAAGCAUGUUGCUGUUAGCAUAUAUGUAUCCACAAUAUUGAUUUCGAUGAUAACAAACAAAAUUAAGAAUGAUUCAGUUUUUAAAAGCUCAAAUUAUUUUUAUACAUUUUAAAUAAAUCAUUAUUUUCACAUUUUAAAGGUUUUAUAUUUAAUGGAAAAAUGAUUUUAUGAAAUUAUUUAUUUUUCAAGUUUAUGGUUUAAAUGAAAGAGUUUUGAAAACUUUGAAAUCAACAAGUAUUGCUUGAAAUUUUGGAGAAGGAUUUAUUUGAAAAGUAUUCAUAGCAUUUUGGGCUAUAUCAUAAUUUCAAAAAGUUUUGGGAAUAGUAAGCAUUAUUUAGAAAUUCUGAAAUUGGACUUAUUUGCUAACUGUAUAACGUUUUGGGUCAUAGUACAGUUAUAUAAACUUUUGGGGUCAAACUGUUAUUUUACAAAAUAGUUCACUGUAGCAGUCACUGUAGCAGUUACUGUAGAAAACGGCAAUCCGACAUUUGAUAACGGCUUGCCGACAUCUAAUAGAAUUGAAGAUUAGCCUCUGGAUACUAACGACGAUCCGACAUUUAGAUAACGGCUAACCGACAUUGCACAAAAUUGAAAGAUUAGCCUUUGGACACUAACGGCGAUCCGACAUCUAUAAAACGGCAAUCCGAAAAUUUAAAAAUUUAGCCCAACGGUCAUAUUGACCAGUCAAACAGUGAUCCGACAUCUAGUUAACAGCGAUCCGACAGUGAGCAGAAAGUCAAUAACGGCUAGUUUUCAGCUCCAACUAUAAAUAAGUUCAAUCCAAUUCAAACAAGAAGAAUUUUAACGAUCAUCAUUGAGCAAAAUAUUGAGAAUACAACUUUCAUUGAGCUUUAAAUCCUUGUAUUCAUCUCAUUCAUUCACACAUUGAGCUUUCAUUUGUGAUCAAACACAUUGUGUGAGAGAAAUUCAUUUGUAAUCCUUUUUGUAAAAUUAAGUUAAAAGAUUGUAAGUGUUGUGAUACACUUGGGUUAAGAGAUUAGGGAUAAUCUCUUGUUGUGAAGGUCCAUUGACACCUUGGAAGUCAAUUGUAAGCAUUUGAAGCCUUGGAGGCUUGCUUAGUGAAAUCCUAAGCUCGGUGAGCUUGAAGGCGUGGACGUAGGCAUGGAUUGCCGAACCACGUAAAAAUCAUUGUGUUUGCUCUCUCUUCCCUUACUCCUUUAUUAUUGUGCUUUAUUGAAUUUAUUGUUUUUGAUUCCAUUAAGGCAUUAGAUUAAAUUGUUGUGUGAUUUGCUUAGCUUAAUUUUUAAAAUCCCAAUUCACCCCCCUCUUGGGUUGCAUAACUAGAAUUUCAUUUGGUAUCAGAGCGAGGUGCUCUUGCGUAGACUUAACCGUUUAGAGUUAAAGAUCAAUAGCAACCCAAAUUAGCUCAACCAUCAUGGAAGGCCAAUCUACAACUAGACCUCCAUUUUUCGAUGGAAAUGAUUAUCCUUAUUGGAAAACUAGGAUGAGAAUCUUUUUACAAGCCUUAGAUUAUGAAAUAUGGGUAAUAGUUUGUGAUGGUUCAUUCAUUCCUAGGAAGAAUGCUUUAAAUGAGUUAGAUAGGAAAACUCUAAAAAAUGUGUAUUUUAUAAAGGAGGACUUGGAUAUAAGCCUAACUUGAAACAAAAAUAUUAUAAGAAUUAUUUUGUUAAGGCUACCUCCACAAGUGAUCAUAAAAUUGUUUGUCAUUAUUGCAAUCAAAAUGGUCAUAUGAGUUUUAGAUGUCCAGUUAAGAGAAAUGUAUAUUAUGGAGUCAAGUGUAUUUGGGUUCCAAAAGGAACCAAAUCUAACACUCAAGGACCCAAGAGUAUUUGGGUACCAAAAUGCACAACUUGAAUAUUUUCUUUGCAGGUACCACAAUCAAGGAAUGGCGGAGAGUUCCUUGAUAAAAGCUUAUGAGGAUAAUCACUUGAUCAUGGUGUAAGAAAAAAUGAUGAGACAAUAUGAUUUAAUUGUUUUGGUAACAAUUAUUGCCUUAUUGAUUAUAAGUGAUGGUCUUUUAAUCUUAGUAAGUAUUUAAUAAUUCAUUUGGUAACAUAACAUUAAGUGCAUUAACAUGAAGUGGAUAAGUUUAUUUUGCCUAUUUAUUAUGUUGAGUGGAUCAUGAAAAAUGGAUAGUAGUUUGAAUUUGAAAAUUUAGCCCAAUGGUCAUAUUGACCAGUCAAACAGUGAUCCGACAUCUAGUUAACGGCGAUCCGACAGUGAGCAGAAAGUCAAUAACGGCUAGUUUUUAGCUCCAACUAUAAAUAAGUUCAAUCCAAUUCUAACAAGAAGAAUUCUAACGAUCAUCAUUGAGCAAAAUAUUGAGAAUACAACUUUCAUUGAGCUUUAAAUCCUUGUAUUCAUCUCAUUCAUUCACACAUUGAGCUUUCAUUUGUGAUCAAACACAUUGUGUGAGAGAAAUUCAUUUGUAAUCCUUUUUGUAAAAUCAAGUUAAAAGAUUGUAAGUGUUGUGAUACACUUGGGUUAAGAGAUUGGGGAUAAUCUCUUGUUGUGAAGGUCCAUUGACAUCUUGGAAGUCAAUUGUAAGCAUUUGAAGCCUUGGAGGCUUGCUUAGUGAAAUCCUCAAGCCCGGUGAGCUUGGAGGCGUGGACGUAGGCAGGGAUUGCCGAACCACGUAAAAAUCAUUGUGUUUGCUCUCUCUUCCCUUACUCCUUUAUUAUUGUGCUUUAUUGAAUUUAUUGUUUUUUAUUCCAUUAAGGCAUUAGAUUAAAUUGUUGUGUGAUUUGCUUAGCUUAAUUUUUAAAAUCCCAAUUCACCCCCUCUUGGGUUGCAUAAUUGGAAUUUCAGUUGCAACAAAAUGUUGCUCCUCUUCAUGUUGCUCCGUAGAAGUGUUUGCCUUUUCAUGUUGUUAAGACUUGCAAAUAUGCUCAAUGUGUCCAAUCUUACCACAUUUUCUGCACUUGACAUCAGGCCUCCACCAACACUUCCUUUGUGGAUAAUUUGUCUUUUUAUAGUGUGGGCAUGCUUGAUAGAUCUUAUCUUUGUUUCUGUUGUUGUUGUUGCUAGUCUUUUUCUUCUUUUUGUUGUUGUUCCUAUCUUUAGCUCUUCUUGAACUUUCUGCCCUUGCUUGAAGAGCACUCUCCAUCGUUUCUUUUUUUCUCAUCAUUCUCUUUUACUAUGGUGCCUAUAAUGCAUUUACCAAUUUUGGUAAGGAUAUUCUUGACAAAUCCUUAGAUUCUUUUAGUGAAGAAAUUUUAGACUCAUAUAUUUCAGGCAUAAUAACAAGAAUUGUUUGCGCAAUUCGUUCAUCAGAGAAGUUCUUACCAAGCAAUCUCACCUUAUUUACUAUACUUUGCAGCUUGUCAGAGUAGUUUUUGAUGGUUUUGUUGGGAUUAAGCGCUUACUACUAGGCUAAAAGCUUAAGUUAUAGCCAAGACGCAACUUUAUUUCCUUAUACCAUGGAAGCACAGAGCUCCACACUAAGCGGCGAGUGGAUAUGAGGGGCUGUACACAUUUGUAAUUGUGCCAACGGGUCAGGCAGUUACGCCCUAGGUAACCUUACUGUCACCUCAAUGGAAUUACACAGUAGGAUGUUACACCUACAAACGCACAGAAGAAUUGUUGCAACCCAAGAGGGGGGUAAAUUGGGAUUUUAGGUUUUUGUCUCUUUCAUUUUCAGCAUUUCAAACUUCCUGAUCAAAUUGAGUGUUGGAUAUUUUUACUUCUUUCAUUGCCUUGGUAUUUCUUUUUAAGGUAGUCCGAUAUACUCUUUGUUGACUCCAAAUUGAUUAUUCUUGUAAAGAUAAUGCUUGAAACAACAUAGAAUAGGCAAUCUUUAGCUUUGGACUUCCUAGUCUUCCUCUCUUUAUGGGUCUUAAGCUGAGCCAUUGUAGGAUUCGCUAGCAAUGAGGGCACAUCAUAGUCUUCCUCUGUCAGAAGCAAUAUUUAAAGAAGGUACUACAACAGUUGGGUAUGACUGAGCAGACAAAACCUGUGAAUACCCCGUUAGCUUCUGAUAACUCUAUGAAAUAAGAGUUAUCAUGACAUUUUUAGACUUAAAUCAAUAAUACUUAGAGAGUAAAAAAUGUGUUUUCAUUACAUUUUUAUUAUAUUUUGCAUAAACAUUCAUCUUAGUUUAUUCGUAAUAAAUUUUGUUUGAUUUAGAAUAAUUUGUAUGCUAAAUCAUAUGCAUAAUUGUAGGUGUCUGGAAGCCCAAAUUUCAAGGAAUGCUGAUGCAGUAGACUUGCAAAAGAUGGAAAAGAACUUAGCUACAAAAGAAUUGAAAUAAAUCUGGAACAAUGCAGUUGCUGUAGCUGUUGCUGUAGCAACCAUUGUUAUAGCAAUCCUGGAACAACGACAGAGAAAAUUUCCCGCGGGAUACUUGCAGAAUUGCGAUCUGAAGUUUCCUAAUCUGACUUAUUCGCGCCCUAAGCUUCCGUUUACCCUAAUUUUCAGCUAUAAAAUAAGCACACAUCAGAAGGAAUAAGAGGAGCCAUCACCCAAGGAGAAAAACACAAAGAAACAAAAGAAAAACAAGAUUCAAGAGAAAGAUUAAGGGCUGCACAAGAGGAGAAAUUGCAGAGAUCAAUCAGGAGCUCAGUCCUUCUUAUUCUUCUCUUAUUUUCUUGUUUUCUAUUUAUUUAUGGGGAUGUGUUUCAUGGCCGAAACUUUGUUCUUUAUUUUUCUUUUGCAAAUCAUGAACUAAAUUUAUUUAUAGUUGAGUGAUAAACAAUCUUGAUGGUUUAUUGACUGAAAAUAUGAGUUGCUGCAUGUUUGUUGUAGCAUUUUGUUUUGAUAGCAUUUAUUUUUAUUCAUUAUUUCGGCUGAUCACCCAUUUAAUGAUACAAGUUAUGAGAGAGCCACAAAAUGGCCUAUCUUAGUGGAACAUAUCAGAGCAAUACUUGGUUUUAGAUUGGGUUUCCUGGAUUGAGUUUAACUUAUCCCAAAAGGACCAUGCUUAAUCUAAAAUUAGUGAUGAACUAGACAUAGAGAUUCGCCUUGUAGGGUAAAUAGAACCUAAGCGUUUAAUGCUAUAUCUUAUGUUGGCAUAACAACUGAUCACUGUUAGGUUGCAUAUAGAUAUAAGAUAUCAAACAUUCGACGGCUGAGGAUACAUAAGGAUUCUGCACAGUGCUGUAGCAACUGAGCCAACCAUUAGAAAAUAGUCAAGACCAUUAGGAGAGUUUAUUCACUCAACUACUCUAUAUUCCCAUUGGUUUUAUCCUUGAUCUUGACGUGAUAAUUUACUUUGUUGUAUUUUAUUUAUUGCAUUUUUAUUUUAAUUAGUAGAUUAAUUUCAUUAAUUAUUUUAUCUUAAUUUAAAACAAAAUCUGCACUGUUAAGAUUCCUGUAGCAAGUUUAAUAACAUCAAUCCAUAUGGAGACGAUCUUGAAUAUUCAUCACUUUAUUAUUUGUUGUGUACACUUGCACAUUGACACUAAUAGCAUUUGAAUUUAUACACAACAACUUCUCAUUUCAAGCUUUCUGCACAACUAUCUCUUUCGACAGAUGCGAAACAAGAAUAUAUGUUGCAAGUUCCGUACUGAAAUGUAGUGGGUAACUUGAUGUAUGCAAUGGUGUGUACAAGGCCUGACAUUUCACAUGCAGUUGGUAUAGUGAGUAGGCUGACAUUUCACAUGCAAUUGGUAUAGUGAGUAGGUUCAUGGAUAAUCCUGGAAAAGGGCAUUGGCAAGCUGUGGAAUCGAGUUUUCAACACAUUCAAAAGACUAUGGAUGUUGGUUUACUGUUUGAGCGAGAUGAUAUACUUUGUCAAGAUGUAAUCGGGUACGUCGAUUCUGAUUAUGCUGGUGAUUUGGACAAACGAUAGUCAACCACCAGAUAUGUAUUUAUUUUUGCUAAAGGGCCAAUCAGUUCGAAGUCUACACUACAGUCUACUGUUGCACUGUCAACCACAAAAGCUGAGUACAUGGCAAUUACAGAGGGUAUUAAAGAGGUUAUUUGGUUAAAGGGUUUGCUUGAAAACUUGGGAUUGGUCCAGGAACAUGUUAACGUGUAUUGCGAUAGUCAAAGUGCUAUUCACUUAGCAAAAAACCAACUUUAUCAUGCACGCACGAAGCAUAUCAGCGUACGAUUUCACUUUUUGCGGGAAAUUAUUGAUGAGGGGAAGAUUCUUUUACAGAAAAUCAAGACUGCAGAGAAUCCCGCAAAUAUGUUGACCAAGGUAGUGACGGCAAUCAAGUUUGAGCAUUGUCUAAACUUGAUCAAUAUCCUACUAGUUUGAAAGCAGUCCGAGAAGGCAGAGACCGGAGGAUGGUUUGCUGAUAGUCGGCUCAAAUUAAUUAAAAAAUUUUCGUUGAGGUGGAGAAUUGUUUAAACGUCAGUCCACCAAAGCUGAUUUUUUGUACAAUUUGGCUUGACAAAUUGGAGGUUGGUGGCACAAAUAUUUGACAAAAUGAAGCCAUGCAUGCAUGAAGUUUUCAGUGGCUACCAAAGUUGAUUUUUCAUUCUAAAUUCAAUUUGUCAAUUUGACAAAUUGUAGCCAAAUUGGAAAGCAGUAGGUAAGCAUUACUUGCCUAUAAAUAGAGAGGAAAGGAAAAGCUUCAAAUCCAUCCUAAUUGAGAAAAUUGAGAGCAAUUGCAAGUGAAGCAAUUAGAGAGUUUUGAGAGAGCUUCCACUAGAUGCCGCAUGACAAAGGUUGAAUACGAGUCUAAGAUAUCGAUGUCAGAGGAAAUUAGGGAGGAGAAGGAGGAAGAUGUAGGGGGUGACCAGUUGGCUUGUUUAAAGUAUUUUUUAUUUUUUAGAUUAAUUAUGCUCUUUUUGAUGUUAAAUUAUGAAUUGAUAUUUAAAACUCUAUGCUGACCUUAUUGGUGUAAUGGCAAAUUAAUUAGGCUGAACGUCCCAUGAUCUUAUUAUUAUCGGACACUGAUGAGGAUGAGGACGAGGAGUAUGGUGAAGAAGAUGAAGAUGAGGAGGAUGAUGGUGCAGGUGAUAAUAUCCAUUCAUGUUGAAAUUACUUACCAUGAGAAGGAUGAUGAGCCAGUGACAUUGCUUGAAUGACUUUGACGUUUAUGCUUUGUUUUCCUUAUUAAGAAUAUUAUAGAUACUUUGUUGGGCAAGAAUUGUACAGGUUGAUUCUAAUUACAACCUACCAAACGACCUGUUUUAACCCGCAAGAUUGUAACAGUAGUUAAGAACAAUUAAUUGAAAGUUAUUGCGUUGAUCACCUCACUUCACCUGCCUUGUUUCUCUAAAUGAGCCAACUUAAUUAUCU